rnacentral:rRNA from 1 species
GAGUGGCGAACUGGUGAGUAACACGUGGGAAACCUGCCCAGAAGCGGGGGAUAACACCUGGAAACAGAUGCUAAUACCGCAUAACAACUUGGACCGCAUGGUCCGAGCUUGAAAGAUGGCUUCGGCUAUCACUUUUUGGAUGGUCCCGCGGCGUAUUAGCUAGAUGGUGGGGAACGGCUCACCAUGGCAAUGAUACGUAGCCGACCUGAGAGGGUAAUCGGCCACAUUGGGACUGAGACACGGCCCAAACUCCUACGGGAGGCAGCAGUAGGGAAUCUUCCACAAUGGACGAAAAGUCUGAUGGAGCAACGCCGCGUGAGUGAAGAAGGGUUUCGGCUCGUAAAACUCUCUUGUUAAAGAAGAACAUAUCUGAGAGUAACUGUUCAGGUAUUGACGGUAUUUAACCAGAAAGCCACGGCUAACUACGUGCCAGCAGCCGCGGUAAUACGUAGGUGGCAAGCGUUGUCGGAUUUAUUGGGCGUAAAGCGAGCGCAGGCGGUUUUUUAAGUCUGAUGUGAAAGCCUUCGGCUCAACCGAAGAAGUGCAUCGGAAACUGGGAAACUUGAGUGCAGAAGAGGACAGUGGAACUCCAUGUGUAGCGGUGAAAUGCGUAGAUUAUGGAAGAACACCAGUGGCGAAGGCGGCUGUCUGGUUCUGUA